rnacentral:rRNA from 1 species
GGCGAACCGAGCGAACGUUGUUCGGAAUCACUGGGCUUAAAGGGCGCGUAGGCGGCUUGCCAAGUCAGGGGUGAAAUCUUUCGGCUCAACCGGAAAAGUGCCUUUGAUACUGGCGAGCUAGAGGGAGGUAGGGGUGCGUGGAACUUCUGGUGGAGCGGUGAAAUGCGUAGAUAUCAGAAGGAACGCCGGUGGCGAAAGCGAUGCACUGGAUCUCUACUGACGCUGAGGCGCGAAAGCUAGGGGAGCGAACGGG